rnacentral:rRNA from 1 species
AUUGAACGCUGGCGGCAGGCCUAACACAUGCAAGUCGAGCGGAGCGGGGACGGGUGAGUAACACGUGGGUAACCUCCCAUCAGAGGGGAUAACACUUGGAAACAGGUGCUAAACCGAUACUGAUGGAUGGGCCCGCGGUGCAUUAGCUAGUUGGUGAGGUAACGGCUCACCAAGGCCACGAUGCAUAGCCGACCUGGGAGGGGUAUGGGCCACACUGGGACUGAGACACGGCCCAGACUCCUACGGGAGGCACCAUUAGGGAAUCUUCGGAAAUGGACGAAAGUCUGACCGAGCAACGCGGCGUGAGUGAAGAGGGUUUUCGGAUCGUAAACCUCUGUUGUUAGAGAAGCGGUAUCUAACCAGAAAGCCACGGCUAACUACGUGCCAGCAGCCGCGGUAAUAC